rnacentral:piRNA from 1 species
UGCCUUUCUGAGAGUUUUGUGUAUCU